GCAUGCUCCUGUAAUUUCUCUCCGUAAAUAAAAGCAAAGUAUUGAAAACUAAUCAACCAAGGAAAAAAAGAGAAAUUCUAACUGGUAAAUACAAUGGAAUGAAGUUUUGGAAGUACUGUGUAGACUGUAAAGGAAAGUAAAAACAUACUAGAGUUGGAAAUGCAAAUGUCACUGAAUCUGGAACUGGUUUUGUGUCAGGGCUGAACUGACAUGGAAGUUAGACUUUGCCCAGUGAUAGGCUUCCACAGUCAGCAAACAGUUUUGCCAGCCUGAACCAAACUGAUCAUGGACAUAAAAGGCAACAGAAGUAAGGAAGGCAUCCAUUCAAGUCUGGCAUCUUAAAACUGAAGUGAAGGGACUCAGAGCUCCUGAGUCUAAAAGAAACAGUAAAGGAAAAAGGACACAGGUGUCUAAACAGUGGGACGUUGAAGAUGGG
rnacentral:lncRNA from 1 species